AGAGUUUGAUCAUGGCUCAGGACGAACGCUGGCGGCGUGCUUAACACAUGCAAGUCGAACGGAAAGGCCCUUCGGGGUGCUCGAGUGGCGAACGGGUGAGUAACACGUGGGUGAUCUGCCCUGCACUUUGGGAUAAGCCUGGGAAACUGGGUCUAAUACCGAAUAGGACUCCGGACUGCAUGGUCUGGGGUGGAAAGCUUUUGCGGUGUGGGAUGGGCCCGCGGCCUAUCAGCUUGUUGGUGGGGUGAUGGCCUACCAAGGCUACGAUCCAUAGCUGGUCUGAGAGGAUGAUCAGCCACACUGGGACUGAGACACGGCCCAGACUCCUACGGGAGGCAGCAGUAGGGAAUCUUGCGCAAUGGGCGAAAGCCUGACGCAGCCAUGCCGCGUGAAUGAUGAAGGUCUUAGGAUUGUAAAAUUCUUUCACCGGGGAAGAUAAUGACGGUACCCGGAGAAGAAGCCCCGGCUAACUUCGUGCCAGCAGCCGCGGUAAUACGAAGGGGGCUAGCGUUGCUCGGAAUUACUGGGCGUAAAGGGCGCGUAGGCGGACAUUUAAGUCAGAGGUGAAAGCCCAGGGCUCAACCUUGGAAUUGCCUUUGAUACUGGAUGUCUUGAGUUCGGGAGAGGUGAGUGGAAUGCCGAGUGUAGAGGUGAAAUUCGUAGAUAUUCGGCGGAACACCAGUGGCGAAGGCGACUCACUGGCCCGAUACUGACGCUGAGGCGCGAAAGCGUGGGGAGCAAACAGGAUUAGAUACCCCGGUAGUCCAA
rnacentral:rRNA from 1 species